AGGAAGAGCUAACUGGGAAUUGUGUGGGCUUUUGAAACCUCACGGCCCACCUCCUCCAUCAAAGCCACGCCUCCUAACCUUCCCCAAACAGUUGCGCCAACUGGAACUGGGUGUUCAAAGAUUUGCUAAAAGCCCAGGACAGUGUGAACUCACCGAGGAGGUAGUAUUAACAGGUAACAGAUUGGAAGAAUCUACGGUGUUAUAGAAAAGCGAUGGCUCUCACGCUGCCUUUGUUCCGGAGGGUCCGGCCCCC